GUGUAUUCCCAAAUCGCUUGUCCACCGAGAAGAGUGGCGGCGCCGAGGUGGCUGCCGUCGUCGAGCACGUCGAGCUGCACCUGCUGGCCGUAUUCGCCGGGGCCGGUCAGCACGACCCGGCCGUGGGCGAGCACAUAGGCCGCAUCGAUUUCGUUGCCGAACUCGCAGAUCGUCUCCCCCGCCGCGAACUCCUGCUGAGUGAACAGGCGGGCGAGCUCGACCAAGGUGUCGUCGUCGUCGAAAUCGCGCAGCGCCCGCAAUUCGCGCAGUUCGGCCGGGAUCACUUGAUAGCGGCCGUUGGCCAGCGUGCAGGUGACGUAUCCGUCCCCGACGGUGUAGGUCAGGCGCCGGUUGACCCGGUAGGUUCCGCCGUCGACCUCGACCCAGGGCAACAUGCGCAGCAGCCAGCGGGGCGUGAUUCCUUGCAUCUGCGGAACAGAUUUGGUGGUGGUCGCCAAUGUGCGGGCGGCGGCGACACCGAAGGCGGUCGGUGGGUUCUG
rnacentral:antisense_RNA from 1 species